AGUGAACGCUGGCGGUAGGCCUAACACAUGCAAGUCGAACGGCAGCACAGUAAGAGCUUGCUCUUACGGGUGGCGAGUGGCGGACGGGUGAGGAAUACAUCGGAAUCUACUUUUUCGUGGGGGAUAACGUAGGGAAACUUACGCUAAUACCGCAUACGACCUACGGGUGAAAGCAGGGGAUCUUCGGACCUUGCGCGAUUGAAUGAGCCGAUGUCGGAUUAGCUAGUUGGCGGGGUAAAGGCCCACCAAGGCGACGAUCCGUAGCUGGUCUGAGAGGAUGAGAAGCCACAGUGGAACGGAGACAGGGCCCAGAACCCGAGGGGAGGCAGAAGGGGGGAAGAUGGGAAAAGGGGCGCAAGCAGAACCCACCCAUAGCGGGGGGGGGAAGAAGGCUUGGGGGUUGUAAGGCCUUUUUGUGGGAAAAAAAAAGAAGAAGGUUAAUACCCCGCUGUUAGGAGGGUACAAAAAGAAAAAGCACCGGAUAACUUCGU
rnacentral:rRNA from 1 species